CCGGCCCACCGCCCGGGCGACGGAGCCCACAGCCUCACAAAGCCACCUCCCGGGCGCUGCGGUUCCCCAGGGCGAGGGGCGAUCCGGGGUUUCUGAUAUCUGAUUAACACCUUGGCCUUACAAUUCGGUUUUCCAUAAACUUCUGUGCAGAAAUCUAGGGAAUCCAAAAGAACGUGGGAGUGCUGAUCUCCCUGCAGUCUGAAGCCUGGAGAAACCGUCUGGAAGGCUAUAGCUGUUCAUCUCACAGGAGCAGAUGUUGUCCCUCCCCAGGGAGUUAUUAUGGGUUGGAAGAAAUGGGAAAAUGAAAAUAACUUAUUUUGUGAAUGUUAUCAAAUAUGAUAAGCACCAGCCAGUUAGAGCUCUGAAUGAGAAGAAGCAAGCAGACUCAAUGUGGAUGAAGUGUGGAGGGGAUUUUGAGAGAUGAAGCUUGAAAUACAACUGUAUUGACCCUUGAACAAGAUUUGGGGUCUCACUCUUUUGCCCAGGCUGGUCUCAAAUUCCUGAACUCAAGAAUUAUUCUCAGCCUCACAAACUGUUGGAAUUACAGGUGCCAUAAUCUUUCACCUGGGUUCCUUAGCUCUUAUGAAGGUAUCUUCAUGCAUGGAUAAUAGUUCAAACUGAUGUUUCUUUGAAAGGUAAGUGCUGAAAACUCCUAUCCUGCUAUCUUGUUAAUGUCAGUCCCCAAAAU